AGAAUGUUGACAAUUCGGUGCUGC
rnacentral:siRNA from 1 species